rnacentral:misc_RNA from 1 species
GACAAAAAAUAUACAGUGAAGGUAGGACUAACAACUCAUAUUUGCCAAUAGGUUACUAAUUGCCAGUUUAUUGAUAGGUGAACUAGGAAUAUGAGUUUACAGCAUUCCCUUCUAUAGUCAUGAAUGAAUUUCAUUUGUUGGACAUGAAACCUUGCUAAUUUGCUAAGUUGGAACUAUUUUUUACAGAAAAAACUGAAUUUGGAUAGCUGCUAGUGUACGCUAUUGUUGUCUUCUUAUUCUUGACUGCUAGUGGCUUUGCCCAAUCAUAGCCAGUAUGUUCAGUUUAUUUGGUUAUCUAGUGUGUAUAUACUGUUACAUUGGCCGUGUCCUAUGUAAGCUUGACUGUUCCUGGUUAAACAUGUUUAGUGGGGUUGGAGGACCUAGGAUUGGAUGUUGUUAUUAUAACUUGAUGAAUUAUUGGAAUAUAUGGUUCUUGUGUCAUUUGCUAACAAAUUUUUAUAUGGAGAAAUUUUAUUAGCAUCUCAUUUGGAACACCAGCACCGUGCAAGCUUGUGCAUGUGGCUAGGAAUGGCAACAGGGUAUAUUAUCCAUAAAAUUUUCUUUACCCAUUCUUGAAGCUGGUUUAGUAAUUCUAUUAUCUGAACCCAUCUUAGAUCCUACUAAGGUUCAUCCCUUGUUACUUGUAUCUGUGCUAAAUCCGAUUAACACUAUCCGAGCCCCUCUAAACCCAAUAAAUUUUUAUAAUUUUUUGGUUAGUAAUUAUAUAUUUUUUAAAGAACUUGAUGAUCAAUCCUAUAGGAAUAUUUAAAUCUCUUUUUUCUCUUAUGUUAUGGUUGAAAAGUUGAUCCAAAAUGCUAUAAUAAUAUAUGAUUAUGUAUUUACUAGUAAUUUAUGCAUUCAGAUUCAGGUAUGUUUAGGUAGCAGCUGUAUGAUGUACUAAACCCAUAACUUUUCAAAGCACGUUUAUGAAUAUCUAAACUUUGUAUAAUCUGAUUGGGUUGGUCAAGUACCUUAAUAUACCUGACCUGUUGUCUUCUCUUUAUAUGACUUCCGAGCUCUCUCUCUCUGUUCCCUUCACCCCUUGCCACUGUACAAACUGUUAGUUUACUUUUAGUUUUGUUACUAAUUGGUUUCUUCACAUUUCUCUGCUCUAUUCAGGUUUGUGAUUUUGGGCUCUCUCGUCUCAAAGCAAACACAUUUCUUUCAUCCAAGUCAGCAGCGGGGACUGUAAGUGCUGUUAUAAUUAACGACCAGUUGAAUGUGUCUUUGGUUUAAGGUGGUGGACACUGUUUAUUACAAUAUAAGCUUAAUCAUAAUAAUAAUAAUCUCUUCUGCUUUAUUAGCCUGAGUGGAUGGCACCAGA